UUCUCCCCAAGGUCAAAUACUAUUUGCUAUUUUUGGAUGGAAAAUUGGAGAACAAGAAGAUGUUGCAAAUCUACCAAGACAUGGAGAAGGGUAAAAAGGCCAAUUCUACAAAAGGAGGGGUGUGCCUAACAUAAAAGGGGGUGACAUUAGUGUUUACUCUUUCAUAGGCACCUAGCAUAUUUUACAUGUGUUUAAUAAAGCUUUCUAGAAGCCACACAUUUAGCACAUGGGUAGUUAAUUAGAAAUUCAGAUCUGAAACGUGUAAUAUUCAUGCUUAGCCUUGAGAUUGAUCUAUAAAAUCUCAUAGGCAAAGCUUGUAGCUCACUUUUGGAAAUAUUGAAAAGAAAUUCUGCUCAUGAAAGCACAAUUCUCUCAUCCGAAAGUCACUCUCCUUGCUUGUAACUCCAUUGCUACUUUCUUCCAAUAUGGAGGCCUUCUGAAGUAGUUAACCACUCACUCAAGCUAGCCUUCACCUCACCUUACCAUAUUCAUCAACAUUCCGCUGCAACCAACCUCACCAACUCAUCAAAACCGAGAGCCAAUCUCCUCUGACCAGAACCAGCACUGGAGUCCACACACGUCACUGUUCCAUUGGAUUUCAAGUUGUUCAGAGUGGUUUCUCUCCUCCAAUCUCACGAAUUGUUCAUCCUUCAUCCCUUGGAUGCAUCACCUUCAAUUUGUCAAAUGUAUACCUUUCCCCUCUCAGAUGCAAUCAUCAACAUGUGGUGCACAUAACAUAAGAUUGAAACAAAACAAUCAACUGGAUUGCCUUCCAGGUAGCGCUUGUUUAACGUCACGAGCCUGACCCAAACUUGUUUAGCACUCAUCAGUAAGUGCUUCUCCUUCCAACACC
rnacentral:lncRNA from 1 species